UACCUGUUUUAUACUAUAUAUUGUAUUAUCUUUAUAUAACUCUCACACAAAUUUUAAAACGCAAUCGAUAUAUUUACCUUAAUGAAAGAUCACGAUUGUAAUAUAAAAUGCAUUCUUGUCAAAAAUUAUUCUAAACGAAAAUGGUCUUAGAUUGCAGAUAAUUAAUAUUUCAGAUAAAUUAUAUAAUACUAGCUGACCCCACAAACGCUGUAUUUUUGCCAUAUAAAGUAAUAAGAAAAAAAAAACAAUAUAAAAAUUUUUUGAGGUAAAUGAGAAAUAGAGUACGACUUAAGAUUAAACAUCUACAUAAAAUAAUAUAGAUAGUUAAUAACUGUAGUUAAUCUACCAACUAUAGUAAGCUAAAAUUAAGUUAAUUUCUUACCUCCUGAGAAACUCAGAAAUGUAAAGAUUUUAAUUAGUUAUUCAUUUUAAACAAUUCUUUCAAUUUGAUUUCUGAACGACGGGGACACAUGAAAGGAAAAAGUUGUUAUUUUUGUUUUUAUUUCAUUCUGAGCAUUUUCCUAUUUAUUCACCUUUUAAACCUUCUCUGGACUUCCACAAAUAAUUCAAGACCAAAAUUAGCCAAAUCGGUUCACCCGUUCUCGAGUUUAAGCGAGACUAACGAACAGCAAUUCAUUUAUAUAUAUAUAUAGAUUCUAUAUGAUUAGUCAGUAUUUUAUUACUAAUAAGUAAUAAACAAACAUACUGCUUAAUAAAAAAACCCGUUUUUUUUAAACAAGUAAAAUCGCUACUAAAUGUUACUAAAUAUUUCUACUUUCGUUUUGACAGCUACAUUUUCUGGGCUGUCCAGCUAUAUUCAAUAUGGGUGCAAAGAUAAUGCCAUAGAAGUCAUUUAUUUUCUCGAAAUUGAUUCCAUUAGAAUACUUUUUCAUGUCAUUUCUAAUACACCAGACACUGCCACCGCUUCGGAAGCAAAUGGCGCUCUGAGAGAGAAGAAGCCGCCCAAGAAACUCAGCCUUCUUUUUUUUGCUCUCUUUUUAAUCAAAUAUACAAUAUUGUACUGUCAUUGCUAUCUAUUGCUAUAAAAGUAAUCAUAAUCUAGUUAGUCCCAGGCUAUCGGAUCACUUAGAUUUUCAGCUGUGGAGUAGUAGGAUUUACGACAUAGCCAUUUUUUAAUAAAAAAAUUAAAUUUACUUAUAGAUAAUGCCUGAGUAGUGGCUAGGACUUUAUUAUUAGUGUAUACAUUAACCCUUAAAGCUAUAGCGUAUCGAAAGGAGUCAGAAAACUAUAAAGUCAUACCCCUCGCAAGCGGAAGUACUGGCGUAGGACGUGACGAACCCACCGCCCACAGCUGUUAUAUCUUGGUCAAGAAGGUAUAACAGCUGCGCAGUCAGUCAGUACCCCCUCAUUCUUUGUGGCACUCUCUUAACAAACAAUUUUCACAAAAAUCAAAAACUAAUGUUGUCUUAAACAAAGAUAGAACAACAAUCUGCCUUAAAAUUAAUGAGUGUAACUGUCAAUCUCCUACUUAACAGAUUAUUUCCCUGUAUUUUGAAUUUUAUGGAAAUUGUUAUCAGGGUACUAAAAUGUAUGAUAUGCCACGAGAUCACAUGUUCUAACUAUAGAAUUCAAAUAGUGUUCUUCUCUUUGUUAGCUCAAACAAUGACUGCUAUUUGGUUUCAUAUCUGAUCUCAUGUCGCUAGUGUAGGAAAAGUUUGUCAUCAAUUUCAUUUGCAAAACCAUCGCCUUGCGACGCGAAUAAAUUGCAAAAUAUCAAUGUUGUUGCCUCUAUGUGCUUGAAAAAUGUUUUUGAAUAAAACUUUGAAGUCAUCUAUUAAUAAGAACACGUAUUUUACUAUUAAAAAUUUUUAUUUACUGAAAUAAUAAGAUGUGUUUUGGGUUCUGAAUUGGAUUAGGUACUAUUAUUUUAGUCUGGGAUUACUAUAUAAUUAUUUUGGCAAAACCUACGCCUUGUUACGCGAAUAAAUUGCUUCAAAUCUAUGUUGUAGUGAAUAAGUGAUAGAAACACUAUGCUUACUAAAUGUUUUUUCAAGGUAAAGAUUUAUUAGAAUCAGCAUUUUCAUAUAAAAGAAAUUCUUUGCUACAUAAUUCGUCGAUGUGGGUUCCGUAAUUGGUUAAGGUACUAUUUCUAAUCUGGGAUUAGUGUAUAAUUUUUGUUGCAAAACCAUCGCCUUGUGACGCGAAAAAUUGCAUUAAAUUGAUGUUGUAGUAAUAUGUCAUAGAGACACUAUUUGCUUACUACAUGUUUUUAAUAAAACUUUGAAAGUAUCGAUUUAUAGGUAUAAAAUUUUUCUUUAUUAUAAAUUCAUUUAUUAUUACAUAGAUAUUGAUAAUUAAUUGAUGAUAUGUGAUAGAAACACUAUGUGCUUACUAAAUGUUUUUUCAAGGUAAAGAUUUAUUAGAAUCAGUAUUUUCAUAUAAAGGAAAUUAUUAGCGACAUUAUUCGUUGAUUUAGGUUCCGUAAUUGGUUAAGGUACUGUUUCUAAUCUGGGGUUAUUGUAUAAUUAUUGUGGCAAAACCAUCGCCUUGUGACGCGAAAAAAUUGCAUACAUCGAUGUUGUAGUAAUAUGUCAAUGAGACACUAUUU